AAACGACUCUCGGCAACGGAUAUCCCGGCUCUCGCAUCGAUGAAGAACGUAGCGAAAUGCGAUACUUGGUGUGAAUUGCAGAAUCCCGUGAACCAUCGAGUCUUUGAACGCAAGUUGCGCCCGAAGCCAUUAGGCCAAGGGCACGUCUGCCUGGGCGUCACGC
rnacentral:rRNA from 1 species